UAGGAGGCGAGCGUUAUCCGGAAUUACUGGGCGUAAAGGGUGAGCAGGCGGUGAAGUAAGUCGAGCGUGAAAGCUCCCGGCUCAACCGGGAGAGUGCGUUGGAAACUGCUUGACUAGAGGGAGGCAGAGGCAGACGGAAUUCCGGGUGGAGUGGUGAAAUGCGUAGAGAUCCGGAGGAACACCAGUGGCGAAGGCGGUCUGCUGGGCCUUACCUGACGCUCAGACACGAAAGCAUGGGGAGCGAACGGGAUUAGAAACCCCGGUAGUCCAUGCCGUAAACGAUGCACACUCAGCGUGGGGAUCGUAAAGAUCACUGUGCUAAAGCCAACGCGGUAAGUGUGCCGCCUGGGGGAGUACGGUCGCAAGGCUAAAACUCAAAGGAAUUGACGGGGGCCCGCACAAGCAGCGGAGCUUGGUGUGGUUUAAUUCGAGGCUACGCGAAGAACCUUACCUAGACUUGACAUGGCAGUGGUAGAGACCUGAAAAGGGAUCGACCUUCGGGAGCUGUCACAGGUGCUGCAUGGCUGUCGUCAGCUCGUGCCGUGAGGUGUUCGGUUAAGUCCGAAAACGAGCGCAACCCCUAGUGUUAGUUACAAGUGUCUAACGCGACUGCCCGGGGGAACCGGGAGGAAGGUGGGGAUGACGUCAAGUCAGCAUGGCCUUUAUGUUUAGGGCUACACACACGCUACAAUGGGCAGUACAACGGGCAGCGAAGCGGCGACGCGGAGCGAAUCCAGUAAAGCUGUUCCCAGUUCGGAUUGCAGGCUGCAACUCGCCUGCAUGAAGUUGGAGUUGCUAGUAACCGUGGGUCARMUACACCGCGGUGAAUACGUUCCCGGGCU
rnacentral:rRNA from 1 species